AGGGUUUGAUCAUGGCUCAGAUUGAACGCUGGCGGCAUGCCUAACACAUGCAAGUCGAACGGUAACAGAUAAGAUGAUCUCUUCGGAGUGAAUCUUUGCUGACGAGUGGCGGACGGGUGAGUAAUGCUUGGGAAUCUGCCCAAUAGUGGGGGAAAACUCGGGGAAACCCGGGCUAAUACCGCAUAAUCUCUACGGAGGAAAGAGGGCCUCUACAUGUAAGCUCUCGCUAAUAGAUGAGCCCAAGUCAGAUUAGCUAGUUGGUAAGGUAAUGGCUUACCAAGGCUACGAUCUGUAGCUGGUCUGAGGGGAUGAUCAGCCACACUGGGACUGAGACACGGCCCAGACUCCUACGGGAGGCAGCAGUGGGGAAUAUUGCACAAUGGGCGCAAGCCUGAUGCAGCAAUGCCGCGUGUGUGAAGAAGGCUCUAGGGUUGUAAAGCACUUUCAAUAGAGAAGAAAAGCUUGAAAUUAAUACUUUCAAGCCUUGACGUAAUCUAUACAAGA
rnacentral:rRNA from 1 species